AUACGUAGGGAGCGAGCGUUGUCCGGAAUUACUGGGCGUAAAGGGCGCGUAGGCGGCGCUUCAAGUCGUCUGUCAAAUGGGAGGGCUUAACCCUUUUUCGCAGACGAAACUGGAGAGCUUGAGAAGCAGAGAGGCAAACAGAAUUCCUGGUGUAGCGGUGAAAUGCGUAGAUAUCAGGAAGAAUACCAGUGGCGAAGGCGGUUUGCUGGCUGCAUACUGACGCUGAAGCGCGAAAGCCAGGGGAGCAAACGGGAUUAGAUACCCCGGUAGUCCUGGCAGUAAACGAUGUAUGCUGGGUGUGAGACUAGCGAUAGUUUCGUGCCGAAGUUAACGCGAUAAGCAUACCGCCUGGGGAGUACGGUCGCAAGAUUGAAAUUUAAAGGAAUUGACGGGG
rnacentral:rRNA from 1 species